rnacentral:rRNA from 1 species
AGAUCCCUGAAAGAUGAUCAGGUUGAUAGGUCCGGUGUGGAAGUGUGGCGACACAUGGAGCUGACGGAUACUAAUCGAUCGAGGACUUAAUCAA